GACGAACGCUGGCGGCGUGCUUAACACAUGCCAGUCGAACGGAAAGGCCCUGCUUUUGUGGGGUGCUCGAGUGGCGAACGGGUGAGUAACACGUGAGUAACCUGCCCUUGACUUUGGGAUAACUUCAGGAAACUGGGGCUAAUACCGGAUAGGAGCUCCUGCUGCAUGGUGGGGGUUGGAAAGUUUCGGCGGUUGGGGAUGGACUCGCGGCUUAUCAGCUUGUUGGUGGGGUAGUGGCUUACCAAGGCUUUGACGGGCAGCCGGCCUGAGAGGGUGACCGGCCACAUUGGGACUGAGAUACGGCCCAGACUCCUACGGGAGGCAGCAGUGGGGAAUAUUGCACAAUGGGCGGAAGCCUGAUGCAGCAACGCCGCGUGCGGGAUGACGGCCUUCGGGUUGUAAACCGCUUUCGCCUGUGACGAAGCGUGAGUGACGGUAAUGGGUAAAGAAGCACCGGCUAACUACGUG
rnacentral:rRNA from 1 species